AUGCAAGUCGAGCGGAUGAGUGGAGCUUGCUCCAUGAUUCAGCGGCGGACGGGUGAGUAAUGCCUAGGAAUCUGCCUGGUAGUGGGGGACAACGUUUCGAAAGGAACGCUAAUACCGCAUACGUCCUACGGGAGAAAGUGGGGGAUCUUCGGACCUCACGCUAUCAGAUGAGCCUAGGUCGGAUUAGCUAGUUGGCGAGGUAAAGGCUCACCAAGGCGACGAUCCGUAACUGGUCUGAGAGGAUGAUCAGUCACACUGGAACUGAGACACGGUCCAGACUCCUACGGGAGGCAGCAGUGGGGAAUAUUGGACAAUGGGCGAAAGCCUGAUCCAGCCAUGCCGCGUGUGUGAAGAAGGUCUUCGGAUUGUAAAGCACUUUAAGUUGGGAGGAAGGGCAGUAAGUUAAUACCUUGCUGUUUUGACGUUACCGACAGAAUAAGCACCGGCUAACUUCGUGCCAGCAGCCGCGGUAAUACGAAGGGUGCAAGCGUUAAUCGGAAUUACUGGGCGUAAAGCGCGCGUAGGUGGUUCGUUAAGUUGGAUGUGAAAGCCCCGGGCUCAACCUGGGAACUGCAUCCAAAACUGGCGAGCUAGAGUAUGGCAGAGGGUGGUGGAAUUUCCUGUGUAGCGGUGAAAUGCGUAGAUAUAGGAAGGAACACCAGUGGCGAAGGCGACCACCUGGGCUAAUACUGACACU
rnacentral:rRNA from 1 species